CAAUCACAUCUUCUUCUCUCCUACCUGAAUCAUGUGAAUGAGACAAACCCUGUGAGGUGCUUAGCAGCAGUAGGCACAGUUUGUGUCUGUACUUUUGACUAUUAUUCUUGAGACUGAGGGUUUGACAUGAAAUUGUGUCAAGUUGGCCAAGCACCACAGUGCAGGGUGGCCCCCGGGAAGUGGCCUGCAGAAGUAAGUUGCUGAUCAGAGCUCAACCAGCAGGAGUUCGUUAUAUGUCCCAAGACAUUUUGCACAAACCACAGAGGCCUAAUGUGUCUUACAAAAUCUGGGAUGGCACAAGAUGUUUUGCACAAAGACCAUGGAAUUUUCCACAGACAGAGCUGCAAGAAUUCCAACGUCCACAUUGUGGCUGGACAAUUCAAUUCUCCCCCAGAAGCAGGAGUCACUUUCUGAUUGGCCGACAGCAGCUUUGCCAAGAAAACAAGCCUUCAGUAACUGUAUAAAACAGGCUGGUUUGGUCAAAGUGUCACUCCCUGAAGCUGACAUAUCUGGACAAAGGAGACUGUGAGCAGGACUGUCAUCACCUAGCUUCAGAGAGCACCCCCUCUCUGUGACUCUCAGUUCCUGGCCGACCUUCAGCCAUGAAGAUUCUUUACCUGCUCUUUGCUGUUGUCUUCUUGGUGCUCAUGGAUGCCCCAGGUUUCUCCCAUGCUGUGGUGACCCAAAAAGGGUGUAGACGCCUUUGGGGUGAAUGUUACUUUUGGCGAUGUCCCACCAAUGCUAUGUACCUUGACAAAUGCUAUUUUGGCCAUUGCUGUCAAAGACCUAUUGGCUGAUUGUCUAAGCAGGAUCUCAGGGAAUCGCGGAGACAGCCACUUGCUUCUAAAAUCAUCAGACCCUGCUUCAAUGGAACCCUGAAGUGUUGCUGUUCACUUGGGC